GCCUAUUUAGCUUAACUGGUAGAGCAUCGGUCUUGUAAACCGAGGGUUGUUGGUUCAAUUCCAAUAAUAGGCUCCA
rnacentral:tRNA from 1 species